rnacentral:rRNA from 1 species
GACGAACGCUGGCGGCGUGCUUAACACAUGCAAGUCGUACGAUGACCCGGCUCUUCGGAGCUGGUGAUUAGUGGCGAACGGGUGAGUAACACGUGGGUGACCUGCCCUGCACUCUGGGAUAAGCCCGGGAAACUGGGUCUAAUACUGGAUACGACCAGUGGCCGCAUGGUCUGCUGGUGGAAAGCCCUUCGGGGUGGUGUGGGAUGGGCCCGCGGCCUAUCAGCUUGUUGGUGGGGUGAUGGCCUACCAAGGCGACGACGGGUAGCCGGCCUGAGAGGGUGUCCGGCCACACUGGGACUGAGACACGGCCCAGACUCCUACGGGAGGCAGCAGUGGGGAAUCUUGCACAAUGGGCGAAAGCCUGAUGCAGCGACGCCGCGUGAGGGAUGACGGCCUUCGGGUUGUAAACCUCUUUCGGCAGGGAACAAGCCUGGGGGGUUUCGUCUGGGUGAGGGUACCUGCGGAAGAAGCACCGGCUAACUACGUG